GUAGGUAUGGCUCAGCGGUAGAGUGCGUGCUCAGCAUGCCCAACGUCCUGGGUUCAAUCCCCAGUACCUCCA
rnacentral:tRNA from 1 species